rnacentral:tRNA from 1 species
GGAGGGGUGUGCCGAAUGGUAAGGCAGCGGUCUUGAAAACCGCCGGGAGCAAUCCCUUGCAGGUUCGAGUCCUGUCCCCUCCG